CUGAGAAGUACACAUCAAGCACGAGACAGAUGCUGCUAAUAUACAGCAAGUAAAAUUGCAGAAGAUAACUUUGAGCAGGGGAUAUGAAGAAGUACUUUAGGACUCCACCAGGACAGAUUGUCAGCACUUCAGAACAUUUGAAAAGUCUAUCAGGAACAGGAGAGGAAGAAGAGGUGGAUGAUAAAAGUGUAGCUCUCCAGGGACCUGACACAGCUCCCAGUAAAGUCAAGAGGAGAUAAAGCGGCUGAUGAAACAGGUUUAAACCAGCCUGUACUCCUAGGCCACUGUCAGGAAUUCAGGCCUACUCAAAAUUUAUGGUGAAGUGCUAUCCCUUGUCCAAGGCAUGCAAGACUUUAACAAUAACAGGACCACCCAGAAGAUUCAGGGGGCCUGGGGCAAAGCAAUUUCAGGGGCCCCUUCCAUA